UCCUAUUUGUUUCUGACGGGACUACUUACUUUGACCUCUUAACAAUAAUUAACAGAAAUACUUUUCUUUCUGAAUUCAACGCUCACAAGAAUCAAUCGAUCAAUCCUCAUACCUGAAACCCUGAUAUCAAUCUUCAAUAAACCGUUUGACAACAAAUUGAAGAGUGCAUUAACUGCAGGCUGCAUUUCAGAAUUGGAAGAAGGCCAACAUGAGUUUGGCUUGUCUUGUAUGCCAUGGUGUAGAAAGUCCAUCACAUUCUUUCAGAAGUUACUCGGUAUCAAGUUCAGACGAGGGACGAUGUUCUGCGAUUGCCAAUUGCUUGACUUGGAAGACGACAUUUCCACAUCCUCGAGCUAACCCUCGGAUUACACCAUCCAAAGUGAUGCCCCUACCCUCCGUCCCUAGUAAUGUAGUCGCAGGAUCCCCGCGUCUUGUCCGAAGCCGUGCUGUUAGACGGGACCUUGUGACAGACUGGAAUUUUGAUGAAGUUAUGUUGGAGCGCUAGUCGAGAAUUCGGGGGUAGGAAGAGAUCAAAACAAGCACAUCAUUGUCAUCUGCUGAACUCAAAAGAUGGAGCUUUGAGUUCACUCUUUAUUUUGGUUAGGUUAUCGUGCAUGGGUAGUGAGUGUAUGAGCAUUUGUAGAAAUGUUAACUGAAUAUGAACCGAAACUGUAAUCCUUAACUUGUUUGUGGCAUGAGCAUAUUCAUUAGCGUGUAAAAGUUACUUUUGAAAAAGUUGGUUAAGAUAAGUUUCAUUAAUGGUAA